CAUCUAAGAAGACGAUCCUGACGCACUCUCUUCAACGACUUUGCACUAAACGGUCUCAAUAUCAUUGUUAAUUUAUACCGAAUAGACAAUUAAUUGUAUACAGUCCACUCUUUCAUUUAAUUAACUUCCACUACACUCACUAUCGAAGUAACAUAUUGGUCCAUCUACCGGAAAACUGAAUCCCGCUGAAGAAACGACUGCGGUAUCGAACUUUGACCCCGCGACACGUCCGCCGAUCUAUUGCGCCGUGUCACCAUCGCUAUCCGAGGAGUUGAAGAUCAGAGUCACCUGUGGAAUUUCUGGAUAAGGAUACGGGUGUUUUACCGACAUUGAGCUGCUAUCAGACAAUCCAGAGGAGGCCUAUGCCGAGCGCUUCAAAUUCGAAGACACCUUUUAUCCGCUGGUUGCACAGGCGCGAAAGCUCCUGGAGGCCAGUCAGCAACUUCAGAACAAGCUUUCUGCAGGUUCCGUAUCAGGCUCCGAGGUAUCAGCUGUGGUGAGAGUGGUGAGCGACAAAGGUCAAAGGUACAGCGCCAGAGUCCUGCUCGACAACGGUAGUACAGCUCACUUUGUUACUGACGCCGUGUGUACCAAGCUCGGAUUGUCCCGAGUUGGCAACAGUUCCAAGGUUACAGGUAUUAACAAUAUAACUAGUACUAGUACACAGUCUUGUAACCUCACCAUCGAAUCAAUGCAUAAUGAGUACUCAGUUAAAAUUAAUUGCCACAU